UACGUAGGGGGCAAGCGUUGUCCGGAUUUAUUGGGCGUAAAGCGCGUGUAGGCGGCCAUACAGGUCCGUUGUGAAAACUCGAGGCUUAACCUCGAGACGUCGAUGGAAACCGUAUGGCUAGAGUCCGGAAGAGGAGAGUGGAAUUCCUGGUGUAGCGGUGAAAUGCGCAGAUAUCAGGAAGAACACCCGUGGCUAAGGCGGUUCUCUAGUACGGUACUGACGCUGAGACGCGAAAGCGUGGGGAGCGAACAGG
rnacentral:rRNA from 1 species